GCCCCCGAGCCGUGGAUGGGAUUCUGCUCACUCGCUGGCUUUCCUCCGGUUUCUGCUGAUGUCUCGAUAACGUCAAGGGCUGGCGUAUGGCUCCUUUAAUGUAGCAGCUUCCCCCCCCCCCACACCACCCCCCGAACACACACACACACACCCAACACCACCCGCUUCCAUCCUACACGUCCCCCCCCCCUCCCUCCCCUUUCGAAAGCCGCCACAUCUCCUCCCGCAGUGCACCGUGAGGGAGCUGCAGCCUGCCUCCUCCUCCUCCGGCGGCGUCCCGACAGCCAUGUGAUGCUUCGCUUUGUUCCUUUCUUCUUCUUCUUCUUCUUCUUCUUCUUGUCGUUCUUCUUGUUGUUGUUUUCCGCCGCCAUCCCUCGACCGGACGGGAGCUGACAAAGCCAAACGCUUCACAUGGGUGCUUGGACCAGAGCGAAAGACGACGCGUGGGAGAGCAGCACCUCAUCCGCCAACGUCAGCCGGAGCGGUGUUGGAGAGCGGCAAUGGUCAAGUCAGCGAGAACCGCAGUGGAGCCGCACUGAGGCAAA